ACUCAGCCUGCCUGCACCCAGGUGAAAUAAACAGCCAUGUUGCUCACACAAAGCCUGUUUUGUGGUCUCUUCACACAGACACACAUGAAAUUUGGUGCUGUGACUCAGAUCAGUGGACCUCCCUUGGGAGAUCAAUCCCCUGUCCUCCUGUUCUUUGCUCCAUGAAAAAGAUCCACGUACAACCUCUGGUCCUCAGACUAACCAGCCCAAGAAACAUCUCACCAAUUUCAAAUCCGAUCCCCACUGGAAAUCGGACUGUUCAACUCACUUGGAAGCCACUCCCAGAGCCCCUGGAACUCUGGCCCAAGGCUCUCUGACUGACUCCUUCCCAGAUCUUCUUGGCUUAGCAGCUGAAGACCGACACUGCCCGAUCGCCUCGGAAGCCUACAAGACCAUCACAGACACUCUAAGUAACUCUCACAGUAGAAGAUGUGACUUGAUCCUCCUUGCUUUCCACCAUGAUUGUGAGCCCUCCCCAGCCACAUCAAACUCUCAUUUGCAUUGCUAUAAAGGAAUACCUGAGCCUUGACAAUUUAUAAAGAAGGAAGUUCAUUUUGGCUCAUGGUUCUGCAGACUGUACAAGAAGUGCAGUGCCAGCAUCUGCUUCUGGCAAGAGCCACAGCAAGCUUACAAUCAUGGCAGAAGGCAAAAGAGGAGCAGAUAUAGCACAUGGUGAGAGAAGGAGCAAGAGAAAUGCCAGGCACUUUUAAACAUUCAGAUCUUGAAUAAACUCAUAGAGUGAGAACUCACUCAUACUGCAAAGACAGCACCAAGACAUUCAUGAGAAAUUCACCUCCAUGAUUCAGACACUUCCCUUUCAGUGCCACCUCCAACAUUGGAGGUCACAUUUCAACAUGAUAUUUGGAGGGAACAAACAUCCAAAUCAUAUCAUUGACCUAGAAUGAACUUUGAGAUUUUCCAGUUGAGCCUCUGAAGAGCCUCAAAGAAUGUAUAUCCCAUUUAGUAAAGAUACUAACUGAUGAAUCUUAUUUGGUAAUUAGUAUGGGAAACAAUGUUAAAUAAUAAAGUGAUGCUAAAUCUUCUUUAAGGUUAUAUUUGUAUACAUAUCUUAUUAAUGUGAGUAUUCUAAAGAUCAUAUGAAAUUUAUAAAGGUCUAAUGGUCCUGAUGUUACACGAUAAUGAUUCUGAUUAUUAUCUUAAAAUGUUGUAUGGAAUAGAAAUAACUAAAUUUCCUUAAUUACAUUUCCUCUAGUCAGAUUUUAAAUCAUAGCUAAUCUAAAAUUUUAUCAUCCAUGGUAAUUGUUUUUAUUUUUUCUAAAAACUUUUGCAAUAAGCUAUUGUCCAAAAUUGCUUCACAUGGAAAAUACUCAACCAAGUACUCUAAAAUACAGGUUUCUAAUAUCUUUAAGAUAAAUGGAGUAAAUAAAAUUUUCCAGAACUCUAAUGAAGAAACUGAUGAAUUCAUGAAACUACUACUCAAGAUCAAGCAAACCAAAUAAUUAAUUACAUGAGAUUGAAUACCCAGUAAAACUAAUUUUAAUGACUUUUAUUUGAAAAAUUGUUGGAUUCUUUACCUAAAUGUUUUGUUUUCCAGAUCUUUUUCUCUUAAGCUAUCUAUUGUUUACAGUAAUUUAA